rnacentral:tRNA from 1 species
GGGGCCGUAGUCAAGCCAGGGAUGACGACGGGCUCCAGACCCGUAGACAUAGGAUUGGCGGAAGUCGAGGGUUCAAAAUGGUCCGUGAGACCAUGAAUAUCCCUUCGGCCCCACCA